AGUAAAUUUUGUGGUCAAGCUACUAAGGGCGCAUGGUGGAUGCCUUGGCAGAAGCAGGCGAAGAAGGACGUGGCAAGCUGCGAUAAGCCUCGGGGAGCCGCAAGCAGGCUUUGAUCCGGGGAUUUCCGAAUGGGGAAACCCACGGGGGUAAAACCCCCGUACGGCGCGAUGAAUCCAUAGUCGCGCACGAGCGAACCCUGGGAAGUGAACCAUCUCAGUACCAGGAGGAAAAGAAAGAAACCUCGAUUGCGAGAGUAGUGGCGAGCGAAAUCGCAACAGCCUAAACCUGUUACACCUUCGGGUGAAGCAGGGGUUGUAGGGUCGGCAACAGUAGAGUUACCAAUUCAGUCGUUAACCGAAGCCCUCUGGAAAGAGGGGCCAUAGAGUGUGAUAGCCACGUAGGUAAAAACGAACUGAACUCGAAGCCGAUACCUGAGUACCGCGGAGCACGAGAAACUUUGCGGGAAGCUACGGGGACCAUCCCGUAAGGCUAAAUACUAGCUUCUGACCGAUAGUGAACCAGUACCGUGAGGGAAAGGCGAAAAGAACCCCUGCGAGGGGAGUGAAAUAGUACCUGAAACCGUGUGUCUACAAACGGUGGGAGGACUAUGCCGUCGCAAGACGGAAAGUCUGACCGCGUGCCUAUUGCAUAAUGAGCCGGCUAGU
rnacentral:rRNA from 1 species